UUGACCUCGGAUCAGGUAGGAAUACCCGCUGAACUUAAGCAUAUCAAUAAGCGGAGGAAAAGAAACCAACAGGGAUUGCCCUAGUAACGGCGAGUGAAGCGGCAACAGCUCAAAUUUGAAAUCUGGCUUUCGGGUCCGAGUUGUAAUUUGUAGAGGAUGCUUUUGGUUAGGUACCUUCCGAGUUCCUUGGAACAGGACGCCUUAGAGGGUGAGAGCCCCGUACGGUUGGAUGCCGAGCCUCUGUAAAGCUCCUUCGACGAGUCGAGUAGUUUGGGAAUGCUGCUCUAAAUGGGAGGUAAAUUUCUUCUAAAGCUAAAUACCGGCCAGAGACCGAUAGCGCACAAGUAGAGUGAUCGAAAGAUGAAAAGCACUUUGAAAAGAGGGUUAAAUAGUACGUGAAAUUGUUGAAAGGGAAGGGCUUGUGACCAGACCUUUGCCUUGCGGAUCAUCCGGUGUUCUCACCGGUGCACUCCGCUUGGUUGAGGCCAGCAUCAGUUCUGGCGGCGGGAUAAAGACUUCAGGAAUGUGACUCCCCCGGGAGUGUUAUAGCCUGUUGUGUAAUACCGCCACUGGGACUGAGGACCGCGCUUCGGCUAGGAUGCUGGCAUAAUGGUCAUCAGCCAC
rnacentral:rRNA from 1 species